GGAGGAGCCUGCUCUCCCAUUGCCUGCUGGAGGACCCCCUGGCGGCAAGGAAGUGAAGAGGAGGGAAGAACAACGGAAGGGCCACAUAGUGAAAUGGGCCAGGGAUGAUUAUUUUAACUCUGGCCCCUCCAUCUACCUCCAGGACAUCGGGAAAGUGGCCCAGGUCUAGGUACACCCAGAAGCUGCCGGGGAUCCUCCGGGAGCUGCGGGAGCUGCUCUGAUUCACAAAAGCAGGACAUCGGGAGGCAGCGGCCCUUUUAACUGGUCCUCCAGCCAUGGCUCCGGUGACAGAGGCAUCCCUCCGCUGCUGCUACGGCGACUCAGGACUGCCUGCCGGGAGCCUGAGGGCCCUGCCCUGCCUCUUUCCACUGACAGGCUUCACAUGGACUGCUAUGUAGACAUGCGUAACUGGCUGUUAUAACAGAAUAUACAAAAACUUGUUCAAAACUUGGUUCAAUGAAUUUAUCAAACCAACAGGAUCAACAUAAAUCAACAGAAAAGGGACACCCCCAUGUUCAAAAUAUCAACAAGGAUUCAGUCCAAAAUCAAUGAAGCGUUCAUGAAGUAAUUCAUGUGGAGAUAAGUCAAUUCAAAAGUACUUUCGAAGCAGAAAUAAUAUUAGAAUUCCACAAGAGGAGGUGUACAUCAGGUGUAGAGGUGACAACAAUCUAUCCAAUUGGCAAACAGGCCUACAACUCCCGUGGUCCCUAGCUAACAGGACCAGUGGUCAGGGAUGAUGGGAAUUGUAGUCCAAAACAUCUGGAGGGCCGCAGUUUGGGGGUGCCUUCAUUUGGCAUUACACCUAGAGCUUUGAGUUGAUGUUUCUAUCUUUGCAAGCCUAACUGGGGCGAAAUAAGGGACGUAACCCGGGAACCUUGUCUAUGGACAUUGGCUUGCCACGCCUGUUUGCCAAUUGGAUAGAUUGUUGUCACCUCUACACCUGAUGUACACCUCCUCUUGUGGAAUUCUAAUAUUAUUUCUGCUUCGAAAGUACUUUUGAAUUGACUUAUCUCCACAAGAAUUACUUCAUGAACACUUCAUUGAUUUUGGACUGAAUCCUUGUUGAUAUUUUGAACAUGGUGGUGUCCCUUUUCUGUUGAUUUAUGUUGAUCUUGUUGGUUUGAUAAAUUCAUUGAACCAAGUUUUGAAUAAGAUAGUUUAUAAUUAUAUUUAAUUUAAUAGUUUAUAAAUUAUAUGUUAUCUUUUAUAUUUUAAAUUUGAAUUGAGGUUGCAUUUUAAAUUUUUAUACUGUAUUUUAUCUGUAUUUGAAUUAAUUGUUUUUAUGUUUUAUUGUAAUUUUGUUGGUGUGAGAUGCCUUGAGCCUGGUUUUGACUGGGGAGGGCGGGGUAUAAAUAAAAAUUUAUUAUUAUUAAAUU